GGCGGCUUCGCUGGCCAGCAGGAUGCCCAACAUCAAGCUCUUCAGCGGCUCCUCGCACCAGGACCUGUCGCAGAGGAUCGCCGACCGGCUGGGCCUGGAGCUGGGCAAGGUGGUCACCAAGAAGUUCUCCAACCAGGAGACGUGCGUGGAGAUCGGCGAGAGCGUGCGCGGCGAGGACGUCUACAUUGUCCAGAGCGGCUGCGGCGAGAUCAAUGACCACCUGAUGGAGCUGCUGAUCAUGAUCAACGCCUGCAAGAUCGCGUCCGCCAGCCGAGUGACAGCCGUCAUUCCCUGCUUUCCCUACGCCCGGCAGGACAAGAAGGACAAGAGCCGGGCGCCCAUCUCUGCCAAACUCGUCGCCAACAUGCUCUCGGUGGCCGGCGCUGACCACAUCAUCACCAUGGACCUGCAUGCCUCUCAGAUCCAGGGUUUCUUUGACAUCCCCGUCGACAACCUGUAUGCCGAGCCGGCUGUUCUGAAGUGGAUCAAGGAGAACAUCGCUGAGUGGAAGAACUGCACUAUCGUCUCGCCAGACGCCGGGGGGGCCAAAAGGGUGACAUCAAUCGCUGACCGCCUAAACGUCGACUUUGCCCUCAUCCACAAGGAGCGCAAGAAGGCCAGCGAGGUAGACCGCAUGGUCCUGGUGGGCGACGUCAAAGACCGGGCAGCCAUCUUGGUGGAUGACAUGGCCGACACCUGCGGGACAAUCUGCCACGCUGCGGACAAGCAACCCCUGUGGUCAUCCAGCCCAACCUGCUUUCCCCCGCAGGCUCCUCUCAGCGGGUGCCACCCGGGUCUACGCCAUCCUGACGCACGGCAUCUUCUCCGGCCCGGCCAUCUCCCGAAUUAACGGUGCAGGGUUUGAGGCCGUUGUUGUCACCAACACCAUCCCGCAGGAGGAGAAGAUGAAGCACUGCCCCAAAAUCCAGGUGAUUGACAUCUCCAUGAUCCUGGCUGAAGCUAUCCGCCGCACCCACAACGGCGAGUCCGUCUCCUACCUGUUUAGCCACGUCCCGCUAUAGUUCCCGACCCUGGCGCACAAAUUCCCUUUGGGGAAAAACAGUCCUCUGUGCAUGUACAGAGUGCUGAGUUGGCUUUAUCCCACGAUUCCCCCUUUUUCAGUUUGGGGCGCUGGUGGGUGGGAAUUCUAGCGCGGGUCUAAUUUGGGGCUCAUUCUAUCCACUCGUUUCUCUGGUCCUUUCACUUCCCGAAAUCCUUUCAAUUGGGGGUGCCUGGCGGCCGGAAUUUAAAACACAAUUUAAAAUGGGGUAUUUAUUGUUCAUAUCCGAUGGGGCAAUCCAAUUACUUGGUGUCAGCGCUACAAUUCGCUGCCCCUUGAUUUGGGGUUUUAAAGCUAUCACUCCCAGCCCCAAAUCCCAUUCGUUCCCCUCUUUUUUCGUACCCCAUGCUAGUUUCCUUCCCCAGAAAAAAAAACUUUUUGGAGGAAUCGGGGCGCCUGGUGUUGGUGCUAGAAUUCCCCCAGGCGCCCAGUGGUGCCACAACUCUCCUAAACCCCAUUCAUUUCGUUCUGUCUCCUAUCGCCCCCCCCCCAAAUACACUAAAUUUUGAGCUUGGAUGCAGGUGCCCGGCGGCACUACAACUCCCCUAAACCCCAUUCAAAAAUACACUUAAUUUUGAGCUUGGAUUCCCUGUCUUCGCGUCUAUUCAUUUCAUCCGAUCUCAACUUUCGAUUCCCAUUAUUCCCCUCCCCCCCCAAAAAAAAUAACACAAUUUUUUUUGGAUUCUGGUCUCAGAUCCCGGGUGGCAGUAUGGGAAUUCUAGCGUGCUUUAAAUGAAAAAAAUAUUAACCUGUGGGUUAAUAUAGGAUGUGUCCUGUUCAUUUCAGAGGGGGGAAUUGCUGCUAUAGUUCUACCCACUCAGAAAAAAUUCUGUUUAUUUCAACCCUUAGCCAUUCGGGCGCACUGUUGGGAAUUAUAGACUCCUGAAGCUCCUGUUCCCCACCUCCACUUCCAGGUUCAACUCCUGAUGAUGGACGAAUGAAUAAUAAACUUUUAUUUAAAAGCCCAAAA